CCGACGGUGAGGGGCGAAAGCUGGGGGAGCAAACCGGAUUAGAUACCCGGGUAGUCCCAGCUGUAAACGAUGCGCGUUAGGUGUAUCAGUGACCACGAGUCACUGAGGUGCCGAAGAGAAAUCGUGAAACGUGCCGCCUGGGAAGUACGGUCGCAAGGCUGAAACUUAAAGGAAUUGGCGGGGGAGCACCACAACAGGUGGAGCCUGCGGUUUAAUCGGACUCAACGCCGGAAAUCUCACCAGAUAAGACAGCUGAAUGAUAGUCGGGCUGAAGACUCUACUUGACUAGCUGAGAGGAGGUGCAUGGCCGUCGUCAGUUCGUACCGUGAAGCAUCCUGUUAAGUCAGGCAACGAGCGAGACCCACGCCAACAGUUGCU
rnacentral:rRNA from 1 species